GACGAACGCUGGCGGCGUGCUUAACACAUGCAAGUCGAGCGGUAAGGCCCUUUCGGGGGUACACGAGCGGCGAACGGGUGAGUAACACGUGGGUGACCUGCCCUCAGCUCUGGGAUAAGCCUGGGAAACCGGGUCUAAUACUGGAUAUGACUCCAUGACGCAUGUUGUGGGGUGGAAAGCCUUGUGCGGCUGAGGAUGGGCCCGCGGCCUAUCAGCUUGUUGGUGGGGUGAUGGCCUACCAAGGCGACGACGGGUAGCCGGCCUGAGAGGGCGACCGGCCGACACUGGGACUGAGACACGGCCCAGACUCCUACGGGAGGCAGCAGUGGGAAUCUUGCGCAAUGGGCGAAAGCCUGACGCAGCGACGCCGCGUGAGGGAUGACGGCCUGGUGUAACU
rnacentral:rRNA from 1 species